CCCUUAGAUGUUCUGGGCUGCACGCGCGCUACACUGAUGCACUCAUCGAGUUUAUGACCUUGUCCGAUAGGAUUGGGUAAUCUUCUUAAAAUGCAUCGUGAUGGGGAUAGAUUAUUGCAAUUAUUAAUCUUCAACGAGGAAUUCCUAGUAAGCGCGAGUCAUCAGCUCGUGCUGAUUACGUCCCUGCCCUUUGUACACACCGCCCGUCGCUACUACCGAUUGAACGUUUUAGUGAGGUAUUUGGACUGGACCUUCGGAGGUUCGCGCCUCCGUUGCUGUUCGGGAAGACUCCCAAACUUGAGCGUUUAGAGGAAGUAAAAGUCGUANCA
rnacentral:rRNA from 1 species